rnacentral:misc_RNA from 1 species
CUCAAUCAGUUUGAAUUUUGGCCUCUGAGACACCUCAGUCAGUUUGAAUUUUGGCGUUGACAACACUUCAGCUGAUGAUUUCUUAGCUCUAGGAGCUCUCUUCUGCAAAAUAGGUGGAUGACUUUCGUCUAUAAGUCCAAGUUCAUGGUUGUGAUCCUUAUGGAUUUGAUCAAUCAUCCAUUUUCCAGAAUCACGUCUUUGCACCCUUAUGAAUGCUGGACAACCUGUCCUUGAAUUAAGCUGGAAACCCUCCUUUGAGCACACAAAUCUUCUUGAAGAAACUGAACCAUCAGUUCGUGAUCGAUAAAGCUGGCCAGUCCUAAUUCUGAAUCCUAUUCGCAUUGCAUAUGCUCCAUAGAAUUCACGUGCAUCAUCUGCUGAAUCAAACUCUAAACCUAUGCAAGGUUCAAGCCUCGACUCCCCUCCAUCCCCUCCAUUGACUCCAUUGUUAACUCGAACCAUACCUAGUGGAUAUGCUUUUACAAUCAUGGCAGUUCCACACUCCUCACUGUUGGGAUUGGCAUCUGAACUUCUAAUAUUGGUGAAGAGACCUGAACUCGAAUGGAAACCCAUAUCUUUUUCUGGCGGGAAUUAUAGGCAGCGAAAUUAGGGUAAAGUGGAGGAGAAGGAGGGUACUUUGUCUAUGGUAGAUUUGUUGCUGGCAAAUCUCAGGUGAUUAGAAAGCCGAAGGAGGAGUAGGAGGAGGUUGGCCCCUUUCCUCGGCCUAUAGGAGGCAGCAAGUGGCUUUUUUUUUGGCUUUCCCUUUCUGCUGAUGCUUGCACUUCUGUGUCAAUUGGGUUGACCCGG